rnacentral:rRNA from 1 species
UACAGGGGGUGCAAACGUUGCUCGGAAUUAUUGGGCGUAAAGCGCGCGUAGGCGGCUACCUAAGUCGGAUGUGAAAGCCCCUGGCUUAACUGGGGAAGUGCGCCCGAAACUGAGUAGCUAGAGUGCAAAAGAGGGUCGCGGAAUUCCCGGUGUAGAGGUGAAAUUCGUAGAUAUCGGGAGGAACACCGGUGGCGAAGGCGGCGACCUGGGUUGACACUGACGCUGAGGCGCGAAAGCGUAGGUAGCAAACAGG